ACUAUAAGCAUUGUUCUGUAAAAUGUAUCUUUUUAAAUACUUCUCUCCCUUUUUUCCCUCUCAUAGCUGUAAAUUUUUCAAGCAUCCCUCCUCCGUCCCAAAGGAUAUCUCAGAUAAGGCAGCAAAAAAAAUGCACGUGAGACAACAUGUUCUCUGAGACCAUGCAGUCAACCCGCAAUAAAAGAGCUCAUUUCAAUGAGUGGAAGGACACAGUGUCAAAGUACAGGAAAGCUGCCAGUGAACGUGAGGCCAGGAGGGAUGCACAUGAGGCCAGGAGGGACAAACGUGAGGCCAGGAGGGAUGAACGUGAGGAGAGGUGGCAGCAGGAAGAUCAGAGGAGGCAUGAUGCAAUGCUGGGGCUGCUGCAUGAUCAAACUGAUGUGCUCCGGCAUCUGGUGGAGCUUCAGGAAUGGCAGCAGGAUCACAGUGUCACUGCUGCCCCUGUAUAACUGCUCUCCCACCUCCCCAAGUUCCAUAGUCUCCUCACCCAGACGCAACUCCCACCCCAGC